rnacentral:rRNA from 1 species
AUGAACGCUGGCGGCGUGCCUAAUACAUGCAAGUCGCGCGAACAGAUAAGGAGCUUGCUCCUUUGACGUUAGCGGCGGACGGGUGAGUAACACGUGGGUAACCUACCUAUAAGACUGGGAUAACUUCGGGAAACCGGAGCUAAUACCGGAUAACAUUUGGAACCGCAUGGUUCUAAAGUGAAAGAUGGUUUUGCUAUCACUUAUAGAUGGACCCGCGCCGUAUUAGCUAGUUGGUAAGGUAACGGCUUACCAAGGCGACGAUACGUAGCCGACCUGAGAGGGUGAUCGGCCACACUGGAACUGAGACACGGUCCAGACUCCUACGGGAGGCAGCAGUAGGGAAUCUUCCGCAAUGGGCGAAAGCCUGACGGAGCAACGCCGCGUGAGUGAUGAAGGGUUUCGGCUCGUAAAACUCUGUUAUUAGGGAAGAACAAACGUGUAAGUAACUGUGCACGUCUUGACGGUACCUAAUCAGAAAGCCACGGCUAACUACGUG